rnacentral:rRNA from 1 species
UACGAAGGGGGCUAGCGUUGCUCGGAAUCACUGGGCGUAAAGGGUGCGUAGGCGGGUCUUUAAGUCAGGGGUGAAAUCCUGGAGCUCAACUCCAGAACUGCCUUUGAUACUGAGGAUCUUGAGUUCGGGAGAGGUGAGUGGAACUGCGAGUGUAGAGGUGAAAAUUCGUAGAUAUUCGCAAGAACACCAGUGGCGAAGGCGGACUCACUGGCCCGAUACUGACGCUGAGACACGGAAAGCG